GGAGGAGGAAACUGGAUAUCUGGGCCCGAUUUCCCAAACGCAUCUUAAGGCAUCCAACGGUGAACUUAGCCGUGAGAUGGUUUUGAGAAACCGUUCCCUGAUUAACACUAAGUACGAAAGGCUAAAGCGCAACAUCAGACCAAUAGCCAGAAGAGUUAUCCGCCCAGAACAGCUAAAAGAUCCUCGAUGAAUCCGUCCUAAUGGAGCUUUCUGAAGAGGCUACCUGGGCAUAAUUGCUUGGGAACCGACAGCGUUAGACGGGGAUUCUCAGAAUCAAACUGCGCCCGGUCCUUUAUGUAGCCCUUCACCAUCACACUAUUUUCGACCGGACAGCCAACAAACAGGAGUACAUGAUGCAUUAGGGACUCUGAACAACUUCGGAGGAGCAGAUGAAAGAGAUGCUAUUCUACGGUUUUGUACUAACGGCCUUACCCUAACUCCAAACACCAGCCAACAGCCCAGAACCGCGGAAUACCGAGCAGCUAAUAGAUCAUCUGUGAAUCCAUCCUCAUGGAACUUUUUUGAAGGGGAGGUGAAUAUUCAGUGUGAUGUUUGUAUAUAGAAAAAUAUUAUUUAAGAAUGAUAGGUAUUAUUCUUGGCAUUUACAUGUAUGUUUAAAUUUUUUUAAGGCUAUUUAAGCAUUGAACCAUCGUUUUUUUAUUCAUACAGUUUGUAAACAGUAGCUUCUGCCCUCUUAGGGUCUAUCUGACCCGCUUAUUAUAUCAAACCUCUCAGACUAGAAAGUAUGAUUAAAAAGUAUGAUUAAAAAGUAUGAUUAGAAACUAUGACAACUAUGUUCAAACUGUGAUUAGAAACAACAAUUUGAAACUACGACAAACUAUGAUAAUAAACUAUGAACAACUAUGAA